UACAGAGGGUGCAAGCGUUGUUCGGAAUUAUUGGGCGUAAAGGGCUCGUAGGCGGUUUGUCACGUCGGGAGUGAAAACUCGGGGCUUAACCCCGAGCCUGCUUCCGAUACGGGCAGACUAGAGGUAGGCAGGGGAGAGCGGAACUCCUGGUGUAGCGGUGGAAUGCGCAGAUAUCAGGAGGAACACCCGUAGCGAAGGCGGCACUCUGGGCCGAUACUGACACUGAGGAGCGAAAGCGUGGGGAGCGAACAGG
rnacentral:rRNA from 1 species